rnacentral:rRNA from 1 species
UACAGAGGUCCCAAGCGUUGUUCGGAUUCACUGGGCGUAAAGGGUGCGUAGGCGGUCGGGUAAGUCUGAUGUGAAAUCUCACAGCUUAACUGUGAAACUGCAUUGGAUACUAUUCGGCUUGAGAGUUGGAGGGGGGACUGGAAUUCUUGGUGUAGCAGUGAAAUGCGUAGAUAUCAAGAGGAACACCAGUGGCGAAGGCGGGUCCCUGGACAACUUCUGACGCUGAGGCACGAAAGCUAGGGGAGCAAACAGG